GUCUAUGGCCAUGCCACCCUGAACAAGGCCAUCUGAUCUCAGAAGCUAAGCAAUGGUGGGCCUGGUUAGUACUUGGAUGGCAGACCACCUAGGAAGACCAGGUGCUAUAGACG
rnacentral:rRNA from 1 species